UCGCACCUCUCUUCUUCUUCAUCUUCCCCGAGCUUCCUCUUCCUCUGCCGAUGCCGAGAACCUCACCUUCAGCCACCAACUCGGCUCGCCACUACCACCACCACCACCGAAUUCCCUUUCCAAAAUCUAUAGGCAUCGGAGACGCAAAUCACCUCCGAACCUCUCUACCUUCACCAGCCACAGCUCCUCCAAUUCUGGCAGUUCCUUGACAUACCGCCGUCGGUGCCCUGCCUCAAAGAUUAAGAGGAUUGGAAACCAGAAGCUUGGGUAUCCACCGAGGCUAAGAAUUCGCACCAGCAUCACUGACGGCGCUCUAAGCUUCAUGAUCUUUGAUUUCCAACUUCCGGCGACGUUCUGGCCUUCCCAUCACCAAAAUCAGGGUCGGUACCUCUCGUAUAGAAGAACCCCUAAUCGUAUCUCUGGAUUUGACCAGCUCCACUGUAGUUGCCGCCGCACCUCCGCCGCUAGCUCCAUCACCCACGAUGGCUAGGUUUUACAGAACUUUGAAAUACAGAAAAAGCCGACCCUUACAUUCCUAAGGAUUGGAGCAAGUGCUUAAGUGGUUGCACGAGAUUAAAGAACAUUAUCAUAACGUGAAAGAUGAGGCAGGCUCGAAGGUUAUCAAAACUGGAAUAUUGCUGCUAUCUUCUUGUUGGAAGCAGUAUGGCAUGGUAAUGCAUUUGGAAGAUCAAAACAUUUCCUAGCAUUACAAAGAAUUGUUGGACCAAUACUUAGCAGGCAUACAGUUUUAUGCAGGUCAGAUUGAGAAUAAGGAUGAGAGUGCUGAGACCAUAAAGUUUUUUUCUAAAUUGUUUACGCCUUCUACUAGGGCGAAUUGAUAGCAAGAAAUUUGAGAGUGUAGUCUCAGAAUACGGGAUGAGGAUAUCUCAGGUUCUUUUACCACAGCUUCGUUCUGCAGAUGAUGAUGUUAUUGAUGGAAUUAUAGAUCAGUUUGUUAUAUCUCCUUCAUUUCUUGUAACUGAUUGACGAUUUGGCAUUAAUGAUCCACCAUGAAAUAAAGGUGAGUCUGACGAUGUAUUGAUGGUGGAAGGUUAUCAAACGGUGGAUUAAUGCAACAAAAUUCAUGGACAAUUCUAUGGAGACUGUUUGUACAUGAGGUUUUUGUUUUAAUGCAACAAAUGUUGAUAUGCUUGAGAAUGUGGGGUAUUUGGGGAGCAGAACCAGCGCAAUGAUGCAUAUUUUGCAUAAUAUCGGAACUGUAGUAGCUCGGUAACGACAUGCAUGCCUAUUUUGUUGUGUUGUUUACGAGGUUGCCUACAUUGUAGGGUUAGUUAUUUUUCAUUUUAUUGUUUAUUUUGAACCAUUUGCAGAAAUGUAACAAUGUUGAUCAUUUUUUGCUUUAUGAAUGAGCAAUUUUUUUCUUC